GAAUAUUGGACAAUGGGGGGAACCCUGAUCCAGCAAUGCCGCGUGUGUGAAGAAGGCCUGCGGGUUGUAAAGCACUUUCGAUAGAGAAGAGAGGUGUGGUGUUAAUAGCAUCAUGCUGAGACGUUAUUUAUAGAAGAAGCACCGGUUAACUCUGUGCCAGCAGCAGCGGUAAUACAGAGGGUGCGAGCGUUAAUCGGAAUUACUGGGCGUAAAGCGUGCAUAGGCGGUUUAUUAAGUCAGUUGUGAAAGCCCUGGGCUUAACCUGGGAGGGACGGCUGAGACUGGUAGACUAGAGUAUGGGAGAGGGGAGCGGAAUUUCCGGUGUAGCGGUGAAAUGCGUAGAUAUCGGAAGGAACACCAGUGGCGAAGGCGGCUCUCUGGCCUAAUACUGACGCUGAGGUACGAAAGCGUGGGGAGCAAACAGG
rnacentral:rRNA from 1 species